GGAUCCAGACUUUGAUCCUGGCUCAGGAUGAACGCUAGCUACAGGCUUAACACAUGCAAGUCGAGGGGAAACGACAUCGAAAGCUUGCUUUUGAUGGGCGUCGACCGGCGCACGGGUGAGUAACGCGUAUCCAACCUGCCCAUCACUUGGGGAUAACCUUGCGAAAGUAAGACUAAUACCCAAUGAUAUCCCACGAAGGCAUCGAAUGGGAUUAAAGAUUUAUCGGUGAUGGAUGGGGAUGCGUCUGAUUAGCUUGUUGGCGGGGUAACGGCCCACCAAGGCUACGAUCAGUAGGGGUUCUGAGAGGAAGGUCCCCCACAUUGGAACUGAGACACGGUCCAAACUCCUACGGGAGGCAGCAGUGAGGAAUAUUGGUCAAUGGGCGAGAGCCUGAACCAGCCAAGUAGCGUGCAGGACGACGGCCCUAUGGGUUGUAAACUGCUUUUAUAAGGGAAUAAAGUGAGUCUCGUGAGACUUUUUGCAUGUACCUUAUGAAUAAGGACCGGCUAAUUCCGUGCCAGCAGCCGCGGUAAUACGGAAGGUCCGGGCGUUAUCCGGAUUUAUUGGGUUUAAAGGGAGCGUAGGCCGGAGAUUAAGCGUGUUGUGAAAUGAAGUGGCUCAACCUCUGCACUGCAGCGCGAACUGGUCUUCUUGAGUACGCACAACGUGGGCGGAAUUCGUGGUGUAGCGGCGAAAUGCUUAGAUAUCACGAAGAACUCCGAUUGCGAAGGCAGCUCACGGGAGCGCAACUGACGCUGAAGCUCGAAAGUGCGGGUAUCGAACAGGAUUAGAUACCCUGGUAGUCCGCACGGUAAACGAUGGAUGCCCGCUGUUGGCCUGAAUAGGUUAGCGGCCAAGCGAAAGCAUUAAGCAUCCCACCUGGGGAGUACGCCGGCAACGGUGCAAAUCGAAUGAAUUGACG
rnacentral:rRNA from 1 species